CACGUAGGGGCCAAGCGUUGUCCGGAUUUAUUGGGCGUAAAGAGCUCGUAGGCGGUUCGACAAGUCGGGUGUGAAAACUCCGGGCUCAACCCGGAGACGCCACCCGAUACUGUCGUGACUUGAGUCCGGUAGGGGAGUGGGGAAUUCCUGGUGUAGCGGUGAAAUGCGCAGAUAUCAGGAGGAACACCGGUGGCGAAGGCGCCACUCUGGGCCGGUACUGACGCUGAGGAGCGAAAGCGUGGGUAGCAAACAGG
rnacentral:rRNA from 1 species